GACUGGUCGAAGUAUAGUGGUGUUUACUAUUAGUUGAUCACAACCAGUUACAGAUUUCUUUGUUCCUUCUCCACUCCCACUGCUUCACUUGAUUAGCCUUAA
ensembl:misc_RNA Y_RNA Y RNA